CUGAUUACUGACCCAACAUCUCUAUGUGCAAGGGUGUUAAAAGCGAAAUACUAUACUAAUGGGAGCCCUCUGGAAGCUACCCCAAAGAGUGGAUCAUCAUUUACGUGGCAGAGUAUACUCAAGGGGUUGGAAACUUUCAAAAAAGGUUACAUAUGGAGGGUUGAAACGGGAGAGAAUAUUAGGAUAUGGAGUGACCCAUGGAUCCCAUCAAGUCCUGACAUGAAGAUUAUAACCCCUAGAGGACAAACGAUCUUGACUAGGGUGAGUGAAUUGAUUGACCCUGAGCAUGGAACAUGGGACGAGGAUAUGAUACGUUCGGUAUUCAAUCCGGUAGAUGCAAGACGAAUCCUUCAAAUACCAGUAAAUAUCAACUCUUUUGAAGAUUUUGUCGCGUGGCAGCCGAACCGAUCCGGGAUAUUUUCGGUACGCACUGCGUAUCAUUUGCAGUGGAUGCAUAAUUACAGGGCACAUGCAACUCAGCUAGUCCAUCCAGGAAGCUCCACUCCAUUGGCUAUAUGGAACACUCCCUGGAAAAUUAAAGUACCACGUAAAUUUCAAAUUUUUGGGUGGCGAGCGCUUCGAGGAAUUGUCCCACUAAAAGCAAUACUCACAAACUGA
rnacentral:rRNA from 1 species